CAAGUAAUUAAGUGCAUGUGGUGGAUGCCUUGGCAGUCAGAGGCGAUGAAAGACGUGAUAGCCUGCGAAAAGCUCCGGGGAGGCGGCAAAUAUCCUUUGAUCCGGAGAUGUCUGAAUGGGGGAACCCACCUACUUUAAGGUAGGUAUUGCAACAUGAAUACAUAGUGUUGCAAGGCGAACGAGGGGAAGUGAAACAUCUCAGUACCCUUAGGAAAAGAAAUCAAUUGAGAUUCCCUCAGUAGCGGCGAGCGAACGGGGAUCAGCCCAUUAAGUUAUGUGUGUUUUAGUGGAACGCUCUGGGAAGUGCGAACGUAGAGGGUGAUAUUCCCGUACACGAAAGGGCACACAUAAUGAUGACGAGUAGGGCGAGGCACGUGAAACCUUGUCUGAAUAUGGGGGGACCAUCCUCCAAGGCUAAAUACUCCUGACUGACCGAUAGUGAACCAGUACCGUGAGGGAAAGGCGAAAAGAACCCCUGUGAGGGGAGUGAAAUAGAUCCUGAAACCGCAUGCAUACAAGCAGUGGGAGCACCUUCGUGGUGUGACUGCGUACCUUUUGUAUAAUGGGUCAGCGACUUAUAUUCAGUAGCGAGGUUAACCGUAUAGGGGAGCCGUAGAGAAAUCGAGUCUUAAUAGGGCGUUUAGUUGCUGGGUAUAGACCCGAAACCAGGCGAUCUAUCCAUGAGCAGGUUGAAGGUUGGGUAACACUAACUGGAGGACCGAACCCACUGUCGUUGAAAAGCCAGGGGAUGACUUGUGGAUAGGGGUGAAAGGCUAAUCAAGCCUGGUGAUAGCUGGUUCUCCCCGAAAGCUAUUUAGGUAGCGCCUCGGACGAAUACCAUAGGGGGUAGAGCACUGUUUCGGCUAGGGGGUCAUCCCGACUUACCAAACCGAUGCAAACUCCGAAUACCUAUGAGUACUAUCCGGGAGACAGACUGCGGGUGCUAACGUCCGUAGUCAAGAGGAAAACAAUCCAGACCGCCAGCUAAGGCCCCAAAAUCAUAGUUAAGUGGGAAACGAUGUGGGAAGGCAUAGACAGCUAGGAGGUUGGCUUAGAAGCAGCCACCCUUUAAAGAAAGCGUAAUAGCUCACUAGUCGAGUCGGCCUGCGCGGAAGAUGUAACGGGGCUAAAACUAUGUGCCGAAGCUGCGGAUGUAUACUUUGUAUACGUGGUAGGGGAGCGUUCUGUAAGCCGAUGAAGGUGUGUUGAGAAGCAUGCUGGAGGUAUCAGAAGUGCGAAUGCUGACGUGAGUAACGACAAAACGGGUGAAAAACCCGUUCGCCGAAAGACCAAGGGUUCCAGUCCAACGUUAAUCGGGGCUGGGUGAGUCGACCCCUAAGGCGAGGCCGAAAGGCGUAGUCGAUGGGAAAAUGGUUAAUAUUCCAUUACUUCUGUGUAAUGCGAUGAGAGGACGGAGAAGGCUAAAUCAGCCUGGCGUUGGUUGUCCAGGUGAAAGGAUGUAGGCAUGUAUCUUAGGCAAAUCCGGGGUACUCUAUGCUGAGAUCUGAUAGCAAGCUGUACUUGUACAGCGAAGUGGUUGAUGCCAUGCUUCCAGGAAAAGUCUCUAAGCUUCAGUUACACAGGAAUCGUACCCGAAACCGACACAGGUGGUCAGGUCGAGUAGACCAAGGCGCUUGAGAGAACUCUGCUGAAGGAACUAGGCAAAAUGGUACCGUAACUUCGGGAGAAGGUACGCUGUUGUUGGUGAUGGAACUCGCUUCCUGAGCUGACGACAGCCGCAGAAACCAGGCCGCUGCAACUGUUUAUUAAAAACAUAGCACUCUGCAAACACGAAAGUGGACGUAUAGGGUGUGAUGCCUGCCCGGUGCUGGAAGGUUAAUUGAUGGGGUUAGCGUAAGCGAAGCUCUUGAUCGAAGCCCCAGUAAACGGCGGCCGUAACUAUAACGGUCCUAAGGUAGCGAAAUUCCUUGUCGGGUAAGUUCCGACCUGCACGAAUGGCAUAAUGAUGGCGGCGCUGUCUCCAGCAGAGGCUCAGUGAAAUCGAAAUCGCUGUGAAGAUGCAGUGUACCCGCGGCUAGACGGAAAGACCCCGUGAACCUUUACUGCAGCUUGACACUGAACUUUGACCUUACUUGUGUAGGAUAGGUGGGAGGCUUUGAAGCUGGAACGCUAGUUCCAGUGGAGCCGUCCUUGAAAUACCACCCUGGUAAUGUUGAGGUUCUAACUCUGUCCCGUGAUCCGGGACGAGGACCGUGUCUGGUGGGUAGUUUGACUGGGGCGGUCUCCUCCUAAAGAGUAACGGAGGAGUACGAAGGUGCGCUCAGCGUGGUCGGAAAUCACGCGUAGAGUAUAAAGGCAAAAGCGCGCUUAACUGCGAGACCCACAAGUCGAGCAGGUACGAAAGUAGGUCUUAGUGAUCCGGUGGUUCUGUAUGGAAGGGCCAUCGCUCAACGGAUAAAAGGUACUCUGGGGAUAACAGGCUGAUACCGCCCAAGAGUUCAUAUCGACGGCGGUGUUUGGCACCUCGAUGUCGGCUCAUCUCAUCCUGGGGCUGAAGCAGGUCCCAAGGGUAUGGCUGUUCGCCAUUUAAAGAGGUACGCGAGCUGGGUUUAGAACGUCGUGAGACAGUUCGGUCCCUAUCUACCGUGGGCGCUGGAAAUUUGAGAGGAUCUGCUCCUAGUACGAGAGGACCAGAGUGGACGAACCUCUGGUGUACCGGUUGUGACGCCAGUCGCAUCGCCGGGUAGCUAUGUUCGGAAGGGAUAACCGCUGAAAGCAUCUAAGCGGGAAGCCUACCUCAAGAUAAGAUUUCCCUAGGACUUUAUGUCCUCUAAUGAGCCGUUCGAGACUAGGACGUUGAUAGGUUGGAUGUGGAAGCAUAGUGAUAUGUGAAGCUGACCAAUACUAAUUGCUCGUGAGGCUUGACUA
rnacentral:rRNA from 1 species